rnacentral:rRNA from 1 species
GACGAACGCUGGCGGCGUGCUUAACACAUGCAAGUCGAACGGAAAGGCCCGGCUUUUGUUGGUUUCUCGUUUGGCGAACGGGUGAGUAUCACGUGUGUAUCCUGCCCUUGUCUUUGGGAGAUCUUCUGGGGACUCGGGCUCAUACAGCAUAGGAUCUCCUGCUGCAUGGUGGUGGAUGGAAAGUUUCGGCGGUUGGGGCUGGACUCGCGGCUUAUCAGCUUGUUGGUGGGGUAGUGGCGUACCAAGGCUUCGACGGGUAGCCGGCCUGAGAGGGUUAACGGGCACAUGGGGACUGAGGUACGGACCAGAAGGCUACGGGAGGCAGCAGGGGGGAACAUGACACAGUGGGCGGAAGCCUGAUGCAGCAACGUCGCGUGCGGGAUGACGGCCUUCGAGUUGUAAACAGCUGUCGCAUGUGACGAAGCGUGCGUGACGGUAAUGGGUAAAGAAGCACCGGCUAACUACGUG